rnacentral:rRNA from 1 species
ACGAACGCUGGCGGCGUGCUUAACCCAUGCAAGUCGAACGGAAAGGCCCCUUUGGGGGUACUCGUGUGGCGAACGGGUGAGUAACACGUGAGUAACCUGCCCUUGACUUCGGGUUAACUUCAGGAAACUGGGGCUAAUACCGGAUAGGAAUCCUUGCUGCAUGGUGGGGGUUGGAAAGCUUCGGCGGUUUUGGAUGGACUCGCGGCUUAUCAGCUUGUUGGUGGGGUAGUGGCUUACCAAGGCUUUGACGGGUAGCCGGCCUGAGAGGGCGACCGGCCACAUUGGGACUGAGAUACGGCCCAGACUCCUACGGGAGGCAGCAGUGGGGAAUAUUGCACAAUGGGCGGAAGCCUGAUGCAGCAACGCCGCGUGCGGGAUGACGGCCUUCGGGUUGUAAACCGCUUUCAGCAGGGGCGAAGCUUGUGGUGACGGUACCUGCAGAAGAAGCACCGGCUAACUACGUG